AUUGAACGCUGGCGGCAUGCUUUACACAUGCAAGUCGAACGGCAGCGCGGGCUUCGGCCUGGCGGCGAGUGGCGAACGGGUGAGUAAUACAUCGGAACGUGCCCAGUAGUGGGGGAUAGCUCGGCGAAAGCCGGAUUAAUACCGCAUACGACCUGAGGGUGAAAGCGGGGGAUCUUCGGACCUCGCGCUAUUGGAGCGGCCGAUGGCAGAUUAGCUAGUUGGUGGGGUAAAGGCCUACCAUGGCGACGAUCUGUAGCUGGUCUGAGAGGACGACCAGCCACACUGGGACUGAGACACGGCCCAGACUCCUACGGGAGGCAGCAGUGGGGAAUUUUGGACAAUGGGCGAAAGCCUGAUCCAGCAAUGCCGCGUGUGUGAUGAAGGCCUUCGGGUUGUAAAGCACUUUUGGCGGGAACGAAAAGGACUGUGCCAAUACCACGGUUCGAUGACGGUACCCGCAGAAUAAGCACCGGCUAACUACGUG
rnacentral:rRNA from 1 species